CGCGGUGGGUUAUGGGACUGCGGUGUGGUAAAAGCGCAGAUAGACCCACAGAUGUACCUCUCCCUGGCACGUUCUCUCCCCACCGACUUCCCUCCCUUCUAAGGGUUUCUCAAGGAAGAAAAGUAUGAAUUGCAACUGGAGCUGCAGUUAACAAGAAAAGCCUGGACACCGUUUUUCCUGCCUGAGUCACAUCUGCUGCCUUGUGCCAGGGGAAAGCUGGUGAGAUAGUAAAAGGAGCGUCAGAACAGCAUGCUGUACUUUUUUUCCUGGUUUUCUUGAGGAACAACAUUAUGGCCACUUUGUGAUUCUCCAGGCUGCUGCUCCCCAGCGCCGAGUUGCAAGCAUAGGGUUCAGAGGUAUUCCCCCACUGUUUCCACCCUUGUCACCACACCGUUUGCUUCUCGGGCCUUUGCUUGGCCAUCCAGCCCUGAUGAGAGGUUAUAAACUCCAGCAUGAGAAGCGGUCCACCUUCCCUCGCUCAGGAAGGUUUCCUGAAGAAUAAAGAAAAGGAUUCCUUGCUCGGAGUUUAAUGACCACGGGUCAUCAUAUAUCACAAAAGCUUGGUCUUCGAGGAAAAGGUUGGAUUUCAGUCUAAAGAGGAUGGUUAAGCGCCUCAGAGAGAAGUGAUCUAACCGUCAUGUUUGACUCAGUUUUAGAGCUUUUAAUCCACUCCCUCUUCUCUAGAGAUUGUACCCCUGUGUUUGCGCGGAAAAACUAGUGAUUUGCUUUUUUUCUUCUUUUUUUCCCUUUUUUUUUUCAUAUAAGAGAGAAAUAAAUAAGCAGAGCUACAAACAUACAGUGCUUGUUGAACAGAUACCAACUGACUUUUUCAGGGGACAAGAUGUCUGUGGGUGCAAGUUAACUUUCAGCUGCGCCCUGCACACUCCACCAUUACAGCA
rnacentral:lncRNA from 1 species